rnacentral:rRNA from 1 species
GACAGAGGCCUCAAGCGUUAGGCGGAAUCACUGGGCUUAAAGCGUGUGUAGGCGGAUCGUUAAGUGCCUUGUGAAAUCCCACGGCUUAACUGUGGAACUGCUUGGUAUACUGCUUAUCUUGGGCCACUUAGGGGUUACCGGAACAAACGGUGGAGCGGUGAAAUGCGUAGAUAUCGUUUGGAACGCCAAUGGUGAAAACAGGUAACUGGGAGUGUGCCGACGCUGAGACACGAAAGCCAGGGGAGCGAACGGG